AUGGGCGAGAUUUCUUGCUUCUCCCCUGGGUGUGGGAAUUGGAUUCCGAGUUCUCCACAGCCCGUCUCGGGUGGAACUCUCCAGGGGGGUCCAACCGGCCUCCAAGCCUCCAGCCGGAGAUGCCCCGCCCCCUCCCCUCAGUCUACGGAUGAUCUUGCUUCCUCCUCCCGCUCUCUGCCCUGGCCCAGCUCAUGGCCCCGCCCCACACCUACAGCGCCUCUCUGGCCCCCUGCCCUCUCUUUUACUUCCUCCAAUCCAUCCUCCUCCCGACUCUCCGGCCCCAGGGUGAUCUGUCUAAAGCGCAAAAUUGACCAUCUUCUCUCCCAUCUCAAACUGGCUUUGGCUCCCCAGUGCCCUUCAGUUCUGGCUGGCAUUCAAGACCUUCUCGAGCUAGCGGUUCUCAUGUACCACUCCCUGCCCCUUGAACCUGCGGUCCCCAGCCCCCUCAGUGUCCCCAACAGGCAGGCCGGGCACGUCGGCCAUGUGACCGCAGUGCGUGGCCAGCCCUCUGUGGCUGCCCAUCACGCUGCAAUGGGCCUGCCUGGCUGCCCCCUGCUACUCUGUGGGCCUGACCUGCACACAGCGGGCACCGGAAGUGCUCCCCCCUCCCCCAGAGAUGCUGCUGCCACUGGGCCACGGCAGUGGUUUCCCCAGGCUCCCACGGAGUCUGGGCUUUCUGGAAGCACCACUUUGAGUAGAAGUCCUGAGGGUCUCGCCCUGGGAGCCAUGCCGUGGAGAGAGCCUCCUUUCCACUUGACCUCCUGCUGCUGGGCCCUUGUGUGCCUUAGAGAGCCCAGGGUGGUCCCCAUUCUCUGCUUUUCUCCCCCAAAUUCACUUUAUCUUGGGAACACCUCAGGAACAGUGCCUGACGACCAUCCUCAGGGUGUGUGUAGACCCUCUCCCACUUUCUCAUGUGCCCCCAAUUCAGCAAAGGCGACAGGCUUUGGUGCCCUUUGCCCUACUUCCAUGCCCAGAUUCCCACUCGGGGUGCUCCGCAGUGGCCAACCGUGUCGGGCGGGGGCUGCUGAAGGAUGA
rnacentral:lncRNA from 1 species